AGUUCUUUUCUGCCUCGAGAAUACGCAUAAUGAUGAUGCAUGCGAACGCUGACGUCACCCAAGGCGGAACGUUCUACUUCAACAUUCUGACAGGAAUGAUUGCUGUUUUACAUCGGUCAUAUCGUGUCAAGUCAACAAGUCAAACUCUGCCUGGUGGAUGCGCUAAUUCAUCUCUUUUUCUGGUAUUCUGCAAAGGAGGUGGAUAGGGUCAGCGAAAGAAGUGGUGAGGGCAGAAGAAAGGGUUUUCAAUAUUGAUUCUGUCCAUCGAGGACGCAUCCGUUGCGACUCCGAUGAGCGGAGGGACUAAUUGUAUAGGGUCGAAUUUGACCAACCACAUACUACUGUUAACAUGACUAACCACCGAAUGUUUACGAACCGACACGAAGGAACCACCCCGGGGUGAGAGGAGGGACGACCUAGACCUGUUAUCGGCUCCGUUAUAAAGUAUACUGACGUCAUCACUCUAAGGACUCAGCUCGAGCCCCUUUCCUCCCCCCAAUUAUAUAAAGGGGAUCCAGACCUUCUAAAAGGUAGAUAACUUGUAAUAGAAUGAUUGAUUCUCUGUUUAGAUAUUUCAAGCAUAAGCAGUAGUUGAACCAGCAUAAUGAAAAAGCUAGCAAAAGGGCAGGCCCAGAGUCGGAUUCGGCCUAAUAAAGAGAAAGCUGGAGAUGAGCGCUAGCCAGAACGAAAUGGACAUAUGAGCGAUCGAUUACGAGAGCUCGACCGAUCAGACCUUGAUGCUGCGACUCAGGCAUUACUCAAUAGAGGUGCAAGGCUGACAGAAGUACCGAAACAUAAGCAAUUUGCAGGAAGUAAACGAAGUCUUUCCUUCCGAAAUCCACUCCUGAAGUCACGUCUUUCAGUACUGGGACUGAAGUAAAGUACUUUCGAGUUGCUCUUUGCCCAAAGCCCUCCUUCCGACUUAGUUAGAAAUACCAACUCUAAAUAGCUUUAGCAUUUCUUGAGUUGAAAAGGUAUUUAUAGAUUCUAGAGCUCAGGGGAAGGUUUGGAACCCUNNNN
rnacentral:lncRNA from 1 species